rnacentral:misc_RNA from 1 species
UCUCCGUAGGUGAACCUGCGGAGGGAUCAUUACUGAGUGAGGGUUUAACCGCCCGACCUCCAACCCUUUGUGAAUCGUACUCGUUGCUUCGGGGGCGACCCUGCCGUCCGCGGCUGAGCGCCCCCGGAGCCCAUCAAACCCUGCGUAACUAAGUCGUCGGAGUUUAAACAAAUUAAACAAAACUUUCAACAACGGAUCUCUUGGUUCGGGCAUCGAUGAAGAACGCAGC